GCAUUCAUGGUGUUAUUGGAAGCACGUCCGGCUGAGAGAUGGGAAGUCCGGAGUUCGAAUUUCUGCGAAGGCA
rnacentral:tRNA from 1 species